CCUACAUGAAGUUUAGGUCAAGGUUUUUUCCUAUAAUUGUCCAAUAUUCUAACACCAUUUGUUGAACAGACUAUCCUUCCUCUCAACUAAUUUUUGAAACUAUUUUCACCAGGGUUGCUAAUGGCCUCCUACUUUCCUGAUCUAAAGGAACAAUGACCUGUAACACAUUUUAGCAAUGGAGUGUUGGUGUAGACUGUGUGCUUUGUAACAACGGUGACACCAGGAGUUCCUUCACCUGGACAAUGAGUGAAUGGAGGGAGAGUGCUGGCCUCAUCCAUCACCCACCGGAGGGGUGCAACACAUUCAGAGUGGUGGGAGCAGCCCUGACUAUACACUGCCUGCUCAUGUAGCACGAACCAGGCAGAGAAGACAACAUAUCUUCACAGCUCUCCCACUGUAUGGCUGCUUGGGGGAAAGAUGCUGCCAAAUGAAUGAAAGAAAGAAGGCUGGAAUGCUUCUUAGGGUCCAUAACUCCUUUUAUGGUGUGGCUUCUGCAUACUGUGCCUGGGGUCACCAGACUGGUACCAUAUGGCCCCAGCACACUGAGAGAUGAUGGACCUCAGUGAGCAGCUGAUGCCAUGUAUUGAUUUGCUGUGGCC
rnacentral:lncRNA from 1 species